CGUCACCAAGGAGCGCCCGUCUGUGCGAAAGUCGUGGAACAGCUGGGCGCGCUACUCGUGGAGAUCCUCGGGCGACUAGAUUUCAGAACGCGGUGCAGGCGUCUAGGCGCCUGCUGACCUUGGCCCCCAACCCCGUGAGCCCGCGCCCGACAGCUCAGGGCACCCGGCAAGACCGGCCGCCGCGGCCAGGACCCACGUUUUUCUUCAUAGGUUCUGAUGCUGGUGUCCUGUAGAAGGUUGCUCACAGCUCUGCUGCAGGCUCAGAAGUGGCCCUUUCAACCCUCCAGAAAUAUGAGACUGGUGCAGUUCCAGGCCCCCCACCUGAUGGGACCUCACCUGGGCUUGGAGUCAGGGAAUGGUGGGGGCGUCAUCAACCUCAACGCCUUUGACCCCACACUGCCCAAGACAAUGAUGGAGUUCCUGGAGCAGGGAGAAGCCACACUCUCAGUGGCAAGAAGAGCUCUGGCUGCCCAGUUGCCAGUCCUGCCACGGUCAGAGGUGACCUUCCUGGCCCCAGUCACACGGCCAGACAAGGUGGUGUGUGUGGGAAUGAAUUAUGUGGACCACUGCAAAGAGCAGAACGUUCCAGUGCCAAAGGAGCCCAUCAUCUUCAGCAAGUUUGCCAGCUCCAUCGUGGGGCCCUAUGAUGAGGUCAUCCUCCCACCGGAGAGUCAGGAGGUGGACUGGGAGGUGGAGCUGGCUGUGGUCAUUGGAAAGAAAGGCAAGCGCAUCAAGGCCACAGAUGCCAUGGCUCAUGUGGCUGGCUUCACUGUGGCUCAUGAUGUAAGUGCUCGUGACUGGCAAAUGAGACGCAAUGGAAAGCAGUGGCUGCUGGGAAAAACCUUUGACACCUUCUGCCCCCUGGGCCCUGCCUUGGUGACCAAGGACAGCGUAGCAGAUCCACACAACUUAAAGAUCUGCUGCCGAGUGAAUGGGGAGGUGGUCCAGAGCAGCAAUACCAACCAGAUGGUGUUUAAGACAGAAGAGCUGAUAGCCUGGGUCUCCCAGUUCGUUACUCUUUACCCAGGGGACGUCAUCCUGACUGGGACCCCCCCAGGUGUUGGUGUAUUCAGGAAACCUCCAGUCUUUCUCAAGAAGGGGGAUGAAGUUCAGUGUGAAAUUGAAGAACUAGGCAUCAUCAUCAACAAGGUGGUGUGAGGACUCUCCCCACAGGCCCUGGACUUAAGAAGUGGGGCAUCCAUUCUCUCCCAGGGCCAGCCGCCUCUUCCAGGUCUCUGAAGGUCCAGAUAGCACUGAUGGCAAGAUUUUGGUCUGCACACUCUGGAAGGAAGAGAGAAGUGAAGGCUAUAGGGAGGAGCAGGGAACCACCAGGCACAGGCUUCUCUUGUGCUGAAAGGAGGAACUAGCCAAGGCUAGGGCUCAGACUAGACGCA